rnacentral:pre_miRNA from 1 species
UCUUAUGGAUGAACAAAGAAAGUGGUUACUUGGGAAGGCAUCUACUCCUGUGAAGAUGCUGUGAA